GACGAACGCUGGCGGCGUGCCUAACACAUGCAAGUCGAACGGAGUCAAAAAGCUUGCUUUUUGACUUAGUGGCGGACGGGUGAGUAACGCGUGAGUAACCUGCCUCUGAGAGGGGAAUAACGUUCUGAAAAGAACGCUAAUACCGCAUAACGUAUCGAAGCCGCAUGACUUGGAUACCAAAGAUUUUAACGCUCGGAGAUGGACUCGCGUCGGAUUGGUUAGUUGGUGAGGUAACGGCUAACCAAACCCGCGAUCGGUAGCCGGACUGAGAGGUUGAUCGGCCACAGUGGGACUGAGACACGGCCCAGACUCCUGCGGGAGGCAGCAGUGGGGGAUAUUGCGCAAUGGGGGCAACCCUGACGCAGCAACGCCGCGUGAAGGAUGAAGGUUUUCGGAUUGUAAACUUCUUUUAUCAGGGACGAAGCUUGACGGUACCUGAUGAAUAAGCUCCGGCUAACUACGUGCCAGCCGCCGCCGUAACAC
rnacentral:rRNA from 1 species